rnacentral:ncRNA from 13 species
UCUCACACAGAAAUCGCACCCGUCA